rnacentral:rRNA from 1 species
GCGCAAGCCUGAUCCAGCAAUGCCGCGUGCAGGAUGAAAGCCUUCGGGUUGUAAACUGCUUUUGUACGGAACGAAAAGCCCUGGGUUAAUACCCUGGGGUCAUGACGGUACCGUAAGAAUAAGCACCGGCUAACUACGUGCCAGCAGCCGCGGUAAUACGUAGGGUGCGAGCGUUAAUCGGAAUUACUGGGCGUAAAGCGUGCGCAGGCGGUUUUGUAAGACAAAGGUGAAAUCCCCGGGCUCAACCUGGGAACUGCCUUUGUGACUGCAAGGCUAGAGUACGGCAGAGGGGGAUGGAAUUCCGCGUGUAGCAGUGAAAUGCGUAGAUAUGCGGAGGAACACCGAUGGCGAAGGCAAUCCCCUGGGCCUGUACUGACGCUCAUGCACGAAAGCGUGGGGAGCAAACAGGAUUAGAUACCCUGGUAGUCCACGCCCUAAACGAUGUCAACUGGUUGUUGGGUCUUAACUGACUCAGUAACGAAGCUAACGCGUGAAGUUGACCGCCUGGG